CUGCUAUCCAAUUUCAGGCUUUGGCGACCUCAUCAACAGGUUUGGAUGCUUGACCGGGUACCACGAUAUGAGGAAAAUUCCCACUGUGUGUCUGGGCGGACGCAUGAAAGACCCAUCCAUCAGAGACUCUGUUGUACCUGCUGGCAUCCCUUGAACUCUGACCUCUACUUGUCUGCCAUGGCGACUUGCUGCUGUUGGGGCAGGUCCAGGAGAAUAAGAUCAGUCUGUGGUGAACCGAGCAGCGUGGCUGAAAUUGGAAACACAUGCAAGGGGGUAGGAAAUAGAACACACGGGAAGAUUUAAUGGUGCUGAAGGUGGUGAUGUGAUGGAUGGGGAGGGUGGGGGUUGAGGUGAGUGUGGCUUGGGGGGAAAAAAAGAGAGGUUUGGAGAAAAUGGGAUUACACAGAGUCAAGAGAAAAAAAGGGAACGGAUUUAAUGAGGCUAGGACCCUGCAUGGCAAAGACGUUUGUAAUUGACCUUAAAGUUAACCUCAGGUAUAACUAAGCCCAAGAUGUGUGUGAGCUUGAGUAGCAUGUGAACACAGCGUUAGUUUCCCUGACAGUUCUAUUUUCAAUAAUUGCCAUAAUAGCUACAUUAUAGAUUGUAAUUGCACAGGGUUGGGAUUUCCAUGUCUGGGGAAAUAAACCUGACUUGGUUACAUUCAUAAAGCUUCAUUACAGGGAAGAAAAAAAAAACACUGGAGGAAGUAAAGCUUUACGUGGGUCAGAUUUAUUUCCUCACUGCCUAAUUUUGCACACUUGGGAGUUUCAUUUUCUAUUGUGUACAUGCAUUACAUUAUGUGCUUGAAACGGAGUCAAUUAUUCAUCUGGAAGCUGAAACAGAAGAACCAGCUCUGGUUGUAAAUAUCCGCUCUUUUGUCACUUUCAGGUGUGUGUGUGUGUGUGUGUGUGUGUGUGUGUGUGUGUGUGUGUGUGUGUGUGUGUGUGUGUGUGUGUGUGUGUGUGUGUGUGUGUGUGUGUGUUCAAGAGGAGUGCCCUGAGUAUGCACUUGAGGUUUAGGGUGUAAAAAUGCUCCUUGAGUAAACGGGAAUUGCUGGUUCAGAGACACGACAAAGCCUUUGGGUUUCUUGUGAAUGGAACGUUAAAGAAACAUGGAACAGUUUGUGAGCAAUGGAGCAAAUGACCGAGCGAGAGCCGGUGUAUGAGUCAGGACCCUGGGGCUGAAAUAUCUAAGUGCACAUGAGGCAAGUUGAGACACAGCCGGAGAUGCAGAACGGUGGGAGGGAGACGGAGAUUACGAGGGAACGACAAACCAAAUGCCAACAGGGAGGAAUACCACAGGGAGGAAGGGAAAGCUCACGAGGAGGACCUCUUUCUUCACCGGCCUAAUGAUGGCCUCCUUCACUUCCAUCAACACCUCUUUGGACCGCAUGUUGAAAGUUCUCAUGAAGUUUCAACAUGUUUUCAUGAAGAUACCAAGUCCAAUGCUUGGAAACAACUCAAGACCUUUUAUCUCAUUAAUUUGUCACGAAAUAACAGGAGGGAAACAUAAAACUGCUUAUCAGUCAAUUGUCCAAUUACUUUUGAGCCUGUGAAAAUGGAUGGAUUCUGUAAAAAAAAAAAAAAAAGGCUGUUAAUGCAAAAUUUUUAUUAAACCCUUUGAAUUAAUACUGAAAGUCUACACUUCAAUCACACCUCGAUUUCAUUUCAAAUCCGUUGUGCUGGUGUACAGAGGCAACAUUAUGAAACUUGUGUCAGGGUCCAAAUACUUAUGGACCUGCCUGUACACAGUUGUGUGUGUCAGGCUGGACUGAACAACUUCCACUGCAUUAUUCCAGAGUUUUGUUUGAAACAGUGAGUUGUAAGUAAAUGAGAUCAUCUCUUGCAAAUGGGGCUUGGGGGAAAAGGUCUUGUACUUGGUGUAAGGUCUGCAAUGUAAGGCCUCAUUCUAUAGGCAGAAGUAGGAGGUUCAAUUAUUCAUGAAAAAUAUCAGACUCUAGUGAAAGCUAGAAUUCUGUAUUGUAAGACUAACAUGGUUUUAACAAUUUUUUAACUACUAUAUUUCGCAGGAUUCCCAUUGGCCAGUUGCACCGACACCUGACUGUAAUCCUUAAUACAUAUUAUUUUCUCUGUCAACUCAUGAUUAUGCUGUUAUGUUCAGGCCACAAAAUAUAAUAAUUGGUUUUCUUACCUUAAUUUCAGUAGAAUAAAAUAGCUGUGCAAGAUUUCUUUGCUUAGUUUUUUCUUUGAUUGCAGAUGACAAGAUUUAUCAAGUAGGUUACGGGCCAGCCAGUAGUAACUUGGAGUCACUCUCGAUUGUGCUUUUUGACACCGUCUCUGAUCGAUCGUGUGAAUGCCACAGCUAAGAAUACUCUUAUUUGAGACUGGGUGUAACUUCGGUUGGUAUAAUGGAUGUUAUUAUCUUUCUAUAAAUCAGCUUUGGGGACUACAUGUUUAGCACUAAAGACAGCCUUAGUUAUGACCUGUUGGAGCAAAUGGCUUGAGAACAGCUUGUUUAUUUAAGGCGUACUGAUCCUUUUCACCUGUUCCCGUAUUCAUGCACAUAAAACACUACCCAGUCCGUACAGGAUUUCACAGAGGGGUUUUUUGGUGUGAUUUUUGCAGCCAAAAAUGGUAGAUUUUGCUACGGUUUUUUUUUUCCAAAAUUUCCUAUGCAACUUUUUUUUUUUCCAAGAAUUUUUUGUGCUUUUUUUGUGGAAAACUACUCGAAUUGGUAAAAUUGCAAUCGCAUGAAAUUAUUUUGAAUGGCCUUUCGCCGCGAUGUUUGUUGGUAAAUGAGACCUUUUAACUGUACUCAUGUUCGACGCAGUGAAUCGAAGACGGCAUUGGCUGAAUGUGUGUUGUGAUGAUGUCAUAUGACGCGUCUCGGCCCGAAUCUGUGGAACUUCUGUGGUAAUUUUGAAAAAUUGCACGCUCCUGCGAAUAUUGCAGAGUUUUGCUUGAUUUGCGUUCAUUUCUACAAUCGCAAAAUCACAAAAUCCUUGAGGGACUGACUAUCACACCACAAUACAUACUCUCGCUUAACGUACUCAUGAUAUGUUCUCUCGUACUCUCGGCUUCAGGGCCGAGAACAGCCAAUAGCAUUCAUGAUCUGUCCCAGUUAAAUCUAAACAAACCUGAUGGCAGUUUGACAGUAGGUUAGCUAGACAGCUGUUCAAGGAAGCUGUGAAGGAUUUCAACUUCACCAGUGCGUACUGACCUCAUUGAUGAGGAUAAUAUCCUAUACAACAGGGCCCCAUUUGUUUCAGGAAUGAAGUCAUACAUAUCUGUCAGUGGCAGCACCAAUAUUGCUGCAGAAUUGCUUGUCUAUCCCUGAGAUGGAGUAGACAUGUCCAAAUGGGAGAAUUUUUUAAGUAUUAAUUAACAGUAUUAUUCUUUUAUCGACAAUCCAUAUAUACAGCUAGUUAACUGCUACCGUAAAUGCAUGAGUGGCUGAAAAUAUUUCGUUUACAUGGAGGUGACAUAAGCAUUCUGGACAGCAUUUAAUGAGCACUUAAGGUUUUACCAGUUUCAUACUUUGUGCAUCCAAAUCCUGAAAAAAAAAAAAUCUUUCCAUUAUUAUUAUAAACCAAACCAGUUUGAUUUUACUACACUGUAAACAAUCAUAAGUUAGUAGAACUCAAAAAAAAUUAGGUAAUCAGUUACAUCAAUUUUUUUUUCUUUAAGUUAAUAAACUCCUUUUAAAGUUAGUAGAACUUUUAGAUUUUGAUCUAGUACUACACGUAUAUUAAUUGCUCUUAACUUGAAAUACUGAACAAACAAACAUUAUGAUGGCUCUUAACUUUAAAUAUUGAGUAAACAAACCAAGUAAGACAACUUAAUUGGUUUGUUUACUCAAUUUUUAAAGUUAAAGUUCAAUUCAAAUCAGCUAUUCUGAUCACUUAAUUUAAGUCUGAAUAGACAUUUUAAAUAUGUAUCAAUCUCAAUGCUAUGAAGAACACCAAACACAUGUAAGCACACAUAAAUUUGUACAUUUACUAAACUAAACAAAUGAAUGCCCGAUAGUCUUACGCAAACGAUGAUCACAUUCAGAAUAAAAAAUUAACUAUAGGCUAAUUCAACCGAGGCCGAAUUAUGAGAAACAGACAUGAUUAAUUAAUUGCUUAGUUGGGUCUUCAGGCUAUGCAGUCUGUUAGUUCACCUCACCUCCAGAUCCGAGUCGUUCUUCCUUUUGUCACGUCCGUUCCCCGGAAACAGAAAGGACUAGUUCACCUCUUGAGUCUUCGGGUUCGAGUCAUUCGUACCACACAGACGUCACAUUUAACUAUCGGCACUGAAAUGGAGGGAAAAGUUUACUUCAGGGUCCUUUCAUUUUUAAAGAUGAUACAUAUAGCAUUUGUGCAG
ensembl:lncRNA